GCCGCGGAUGUAGCCAAGUGGAUCAAGGCAGUGGGUUGUGAAUCCACCAUGCGCGGGUUCAAUUCCCGUCGUUC
rnacentral:tRNA from 2 species